UACGGGAGGCAGCAGCAAGGAAUUUUCCACAAUGGGCGCAAGCCUGAUGGAGCAACGCCGCGUGGGGGAUGACGCCCUUCGGGGUGUAAACCGCUUUUCGAGGGGACGAAGGCAAUGACGGUACCCUCGGAAUAAGGAUCGGCUAACUACGUGCCAGCAGCCGCGGUAAGACGUAGGAUCCGAGCGUUGUCCGGAGUUACUGGGCGUAAAGCGCGCGCAGGCGGACACAGACAUCGGCCGUGAAAGCCCCCCGCUCAACGGGGGAGGGUCGGUCGAGAUUGUGUGUCUGGAGGCAGGGAGAGGCCAGUGGAAUUCCGGGUGUAGUGGUGAAAUGCGUAGAGAUCGGGAGGAACACCAGUGGCGAAGGCGGCUGCCUGGACCUGACCUGACGCUGAGGCGCGAAAGCGUGGGGAGCGAACGGGAUUAGAUACCCCGGUAGUCCACGCCCUAAACGAUGGGUACUAGGUGUGGCGGGAGUUGACCCCCUCCGGUGCCGCAGCUAACGCAGUAAGUACUCCGCCUGG
rnacentral:rRNA from 1 species